UACGUAGGGGGCAAGCGUUGUCCGGAAUCAUUGGGCGUAAAGCGCGUGUAGGCGGUUCGGUAAGUCUGCUGUGAAAGUCCAGGGCUCAACCCUGGGAUGCCGGUGGAUACUGUCGGGCUAGAGUACGGAAGAGGCGAGUGGAAUUCCCGGUGUAGCGGUAAUAUGCGUAGAUAUCGGGAGGAACACCAGUGGCGUAGGCGGCUGUCUGGGGUCUUGCUGACGCUGAGGCACGAAAGCCAGGGGAGCGAACGGG
rnacentral:rRNA from 1 species